rnacentral:snoRNA from 1 species
AAUCCAUGGUGAGGACAUCUUCUCAUCAAAUCCUUAUACCUUUCCCAAGCCUCAUAUAGUGAUUUAGAAUCAAAUUGCAUGAAAGAAGUGAUAUCAUUCCGCAUCUU